rnacentral:lncRNA from 1 species
CUCCUGAAAUAAUAUCACAAAAAAUUAAAAUCAAAAUGGAGCAAACAAAAAUAAAAAUUUAAAAUAUCAAGCCAAAAAAGUUUAACCAUCGUUAUAAAUAAAAGACAAUGCAAGUUUGAUAACGAAAAUUGUUGUCGAACAAAUUGGAAAAUCACAAUAUGAAAUCCAUCAUAACUGGUCCAAGGCAUAAACAAGUUGAAGUUAACCAAGUUAAUACAAGCAAAGGGAUUUUGAAAUAUGUCAUAGAUUUUUAUGCAUCAACAACCAC